UCUCAGGCCUGGCCCUAGGAAAAUUGGAAAGUCAGCAGAGAAGAUACUUGGAAACAGAAGGAGAGAGCAGUCAAUACACUUGCCUAAGGCCACACAGCUGCUACGCAAAUGACUGAUCUACAGUUACAACCCAAACCAAGACGAUGUCAAGACUGAGC
rnacentral:lncRNA from 1 species